GUUUCUAUGGUGUAACUUAGCACGUUAGAUUUUCAUUCUAAAAGAAUAAAUUAAUUUAUUAGAAAU
rnacentral:tRNA from 1 species